rnacentral:rRNA from 1 species
UACGGAGGGGGCUAGCGUUGUUCGGAAUUACUGGGCGUAAAGCGCGCGUAGGCGGACCUGCAAGUCGGGGGGUGAAAGCCCGAGGCUCAACCUCGGAACUGCCUUCGAUACUGCGGGUCUCGAGUCCGGGAGAGGUUGGUGGAACUGCGAGUGUAGAGGUGAAAUUCGUAGAUAUUCGCAAGAACACCAGUGGCGAAGGCGGCCAACUGGUCCGGUACUGACGCUGAGG